UUUCAUUCUUAUCCAAACAAUUUUUCAAAAAGUUCGUAUAUAUAUGUGUAAUCAUAUAUUAUGGUUGAAUUUCUUCCCUAUAUGCAUAUAUAUUUUCUUUUUAUUUGUUAGUAUAUUCUUUCUUUUUUUCCUCUCUCAUGUAUUGUUUAACAUAUAUGUUAAAAAUAAUAUAUAUAUAUAUUUGUAUUAUUUUCAUGAUUUUUUCGACCGCUUUAGGAUGCAAGGGGAUAACGAAAACAAUUCAAGCAAUACCAUCGGGGGUACACAUCCACCAUGUGCCUCAUGUAAACAUCAAAGGAAAAAGUGCAACAAUGAUUGUAUACUGGCACCAUACUUCCCUAUAGAUAAAAAUAGGGAGUUUCAAGUGGUGCAUAAAGUGUUUGGAGUGAGCAAUGUUCAAAAACUAAUACGAAAUUUGAAAGGCGAUGAUCAGAAGAAGGCUGUGGAAUCUUUGGUUUGGGAAGCUUCUUGCAGGCAAAAGAUCCAGUACAAGGAGCUUAUGGAGAAUACAAAAGAGUCUGUGAUGAACUUACAUUAUACAAGAAUCAAAUUCAGAUGAUGCAGUUGCCGGGACAAGGAGCUACCAUGUUUAAGCUCGGGAUGCCAAUGAUGGGUUGGAAUGGGAAUCAUGAAAUGAUCAAUAAUAAUAAUAACAACAACAUGCUCAAUUUUAACCAAGAAAACAAUAAGUUAAUAUUUGACUCCAACACCUACUACUACCCUUCUACUAAUAUUGAGAAACUAAAGAAUGAUCAUGUUGGUGUUACUGUUACUCCUCAAAUUCAACAACAACAACAAAUGCAGUAUCCAAUUAAUCAGUUCUACCUUCCUGGUAAAUUUUAAUUAAUCCCUAUAUAUGUAUUUAAAUUAUACAUACUACAUAUAUAUAAUAAAAAAUUAUGUGAUUAAUACAUAUUAUAUUUGACCUUAUUAUUUUAACUAAUUGAUUAUUUUUUUGAUGACUUACUGAGACGGAGAUUGUGCGUUCCUACAUCAUCAUUAGAAUAUUGUGUUAUGAUUGGCAUAUAUGUGUCAAUUAAUGAAAUAUAUAGAUUUUCAAUUUUUAAACUGAGAUUUAAUAUUUGGGAAUACAUAAUCUACACAAUUCAUAAACGUAUUCUUGUGUAUGUAUAAAAUAAAUCAUGGUUUUUAUUUUAUUUCACUUGCUUAAUUAUUGUAGGUCAAUUUGGUCCGAACUGAUGGCAAGAUCAAGAUGAUGGAGAGUGGAGAAUUAGAGAAAGAAAGCAUAUUUUGGAUGAGGAAAAACAUAGGACAUGAUACAAGAAAUUCAUAUCUUUGUGCUUUUUUUUUUGGGUUUUAUAUCUUUUCCUUGUUCUCCCUAAGUAUUAUGUUUAAUUUUGGAUAAUGUUAUUUUCUCAUAAAAUGUAAAGGCCCGAACUAAAAAAAAAAGAUUUAUUAUCUAAAUGCGGAAGCGAACAAUAAAGUUAGGAUUUAGAUUCCUAUUGGAAUGCCCAAUAAAAUUACGGGAAUAUCCAUUCUACAUUGACUCAUAAAAAAAAUUAAGAGAUAAUUAAAAACAAAUAAAGAAAUAUCCUAAGGGGUUAACCUCCACUAACAUUUGAAAGGAGUUCGGGAGGUGAACUACUCACAACCCUCUUACUGAUCGGGAUCUGGAUCUUGGUCUUUUUUUAUUUGAAAUGGUUAAUAAAAGAAUGAGUUAUAUUAGCUUAAUAAGGAUAUCAUACUAAUCACUUAUAUGAAAAAUCGAAGGUUGGUAAAAAUCACAAAUCAACAAAUGGAGCCCUUAAUUUAAUUAAAUACAUUUAACAUUAAAAUAUUUAUUCCAUACUUACCGUUACAGGUUUUUCAAAAUCAACCUAUGAAGAUAAAUAACUAGAUGACAUUUUAAUUUCAUGCAUAAGAUCUGUAACUCUUCCUUUUAACCUACUUAUUAAGACCCCUGAGGGUUCAUAAGGAUAUCCCCUUACUAAUAAACUCAAUAUCUAGAUUGACAAUUAAUCCGGCCGUUUUUAUACCCCGUCUGGUGAUGGGCGCCAAACAUACUAUGGUCUCGAUACCGCAUCUGGUAUUAGGGUGAACCAUAUCUCCCAAAAUAUUUCGGUAUGGAACUUCUCAAUGCCGUCAGACUAAGAUAAUGUCCACAGUAGGGUUUCCUUUUCCUAAAUACGUAAUAAGGUGUUGGUAUGCGAUUGGUGGUUGUUAGGAUGAUGAGGAUCUAUAGAUGUGAAAACUUAUUGGGUACCCUGAAAAAUGGUGGACGGACCCAGGUAACCAAAUAACUAAAUAAAUAAAUAAACAACGCAAGAGGAACAAAAUAAAGCAGAUGACCGAGGACACAGUUUAAACUACCAAUUUAAUGCACAUAAUUCAAUAGUAAACAUUUUAAGUAAUACAGGAGAAAAUAAACAGUAAACUAGGGCAAUCGUACACGGACCAGUUUUGGCUCUACUAUUGACUUGUAAUUAUUAUUAGAAUUUUUUUAAUUUUCACAAAAUGUGGAAUUAUUUAUUUUUAAGCCUCAGUUCACUAUAACAGAGAAUAGUGUGAGGGAUCCUUACCCAAAUCAGUGUUUCGAAAUGCUAUGCUACCUACUACACCUCCUGACGGGCCCCAGAUUUUCCUAAAUUUUCUCUGUAGAAAUCAAAAUACUCGUCACGUACUCAAAAAUACUCUAAAAAUCUAAAAUCAGUGUUAAAAACCCUGUCCAGCCAAUUUUAAGGUUCUGGAACGGCAGCGUCACCGUGCUCCAGCGCUGAUUCUGUCGCCACAGCGACAGUUCACCUCAAUCUGGCCGGUUUUAGCUGAUUUUAUACGUAUUCUUGUAAAAAAAUAAGUUAAAAAGCCUUGGUUGGCUAGAAAGAAUAUAAAAAUUGAACCUACCGGUGGGGGGGGGUCUCCGGGUGCGAAGGCUCUGCCAGUUCUCCUUUGUAGCUGGGGUUUCUUCUUCGGCUAACAUGCAUAGAAAGGGACAGUGAACACAAUGGUCAAAAAAUCGUGUGAAACGGGAAACAGAAAGGGGGUCAUCGGAGAGGGUUUAGGGUUUUGGUCGCAGCGGCUCCGUCGAGCUUUGCUCACAGUUUUCGGUGCACCCGCCACCUCUUUUGCUCCGAUAUGGUCAGAGGGAUGCUCGAAAUUGAAUUCUGAGCAGGAAGGAGAAAAUUUUACCCUUUUUGGUGGUCAGCGGUGACUCUGAUGCAGGGGUGGCGAGUGGUCAGUCUCCCUAUUCGGUGUCUAGUUCUUCUUCUCUAGUGAGGGCAUGUGUGGCUAGGGUUAGGGUUCUUUGAGACACAAUAUUUAAAUACUCAUCCCGUGUUGAUCUGGGCCAUCCAUUUCGGAAUAUGUGAUCCUCUCUCGUCAGUUGGAUCUAUCUUAUUCAGAAAAUGAAUCUGGGUCGCAUGAUUAGAUUGAAUCUAACCGUCCGAUCUCAUCUAAAGAGGGAAUGUAACACCCCAAGUGUAUUAUUUUCUUUUAUUUAUUUUAUUUUGUAAAUAUUAGAAUUUUAUUUGAUUUUUUAUUUAAUUUAAUUUAAUGAAAAUAAAAAUAAUAAUAAUGAUAAAAUUGUUUAAAAAUAUUAUUUGGAUUUAAUUGAAAUUGAUUUUAGGAAAAAAGGGAUGAAAAUUUGGAUUCUGGGGGUGUUUUUGAAAAGAAAAUCGGAAACCGGAGAUCAAAACGUAAUUUAAAAAAGUUGUGCCAUGUCAGCACCGCGUCAGCAGCCGCGUCAGCAGCCGCGUCAGCGGCCCGGUCAGCAACCCCAGCCAACCAGGACGCGCUGCGUGGCAACAAAAUGCUGACCAGGGGACGGGCCACGUGGGCGAUCCGCGUGCGCACGAUCGGACAGCUCAGAUCUAUUCCCGCGCGCACGGACGGCCCAGAUCAAACGUGCGCACGGACGGCCCAGAUUCAUGCGCACGGACGGCCCAUAUUCAAUCAGGAAUGGACGGUCCAGAUUGCAUCGCGAUGGACGGCCCAGAUUUAAUCCCAAUUAAAUCGCGAUCGAACGGUCCAUAUUUAAUCUUGAUGGACGGUUGAGAUUAAAAGGCAAAGGGUAUAAAUAACCCCACCCACACCUGACACAAAAACCCUAGCCGCCAGUGCCUCGGUGAGGCGCCGCCGUGCCGGAAUUGCGAUAUUGGCCGAAAGGGGCCCUAGGUCUGAUUUGGGAUUUUUUGGGACACGUGUAGGUACUGGUAGUGCGUUUCAGUUUUCCAAAAAAAAUUCAGAAAAAUUAGGGACAGCCCGUAGGCGCACUGUAGAGUCGAUUUCAGACCCCGAAACAAGUAAAGACCCAUCACCCUAUUUUCUAUCACGGUAUUAAAGCUAAAUAAAUAAUUAAACUGUACUGUGUGACUUUAUAGAUGUAUAAUUGAUUAAGGUUGCCAAUAGAGCCCGAGUCUUAUACAGUGUUGGUCUGAUUAUUGUUUGAUCUAAUUUUCAGUAUUAAAUGUAGCAUGACGUUUGAUGUAAUUAUGUUAUGGUCUCGUAAGCAUGAAUCAUGAUUUCUUUUAUUAUGGUUUGUAUUAUGGUGAACCCGAUACUGUGUUGUCUUGUUUGGUGUCAAUUACUGUUUUGCACGUUUUUGUAUGUUUGGAUGAUUGAAAUUAAGAAAAAAGGCAAAAAGGUUAUGUGAAUUGAUAAGUGGAUAAUGUAGACAGCCUGACUAGAUAUCCUGGGAGAUAGUGGACGGACCGGGUCCGUAGGGAACCCUACCGGGAACGUGGUCUCUCAUACCAGACGGGGUAUGGAGACUUUAUGUAUUUUGGCGCCCAUACCGGAUGGGGUACGGGGACGGCCCGUUUCACCCUCAUACCGGACAGGGUAUGGGGACGGCCCUGGGAUCAAGUUGUAAAUAUUAAUGGUUCACGUGUAUAGAGGACCCCCUAUGGAUCCCCAGGGAUACUAGUAGGCUGGUAAAAGAAGAAAUAUGUUUCCUGAUGAUUGAAAUGUAAAGGUGUGAUAUAUGUUAUGUUAUAAAGUGUGUAUGAUUUAAUGAUAUUAUAAGGUUAUUAUUUUCAUAUGUUGUUUUCAUGGAUAUCGCCGAGGUAAGUGGACAGUAAAGGAUUUUAUUACUGAUAAAUGAAUUUGUUAUAAAUUAUGCUAUAUUGGUCAUUUUUGUUUUUUACCCACCUUUACUUCUGUGGCAGUGAGAUAGUAUGAUGUCUUUACUAGACUGGUGUAUCUCAUCCCUUAUUUAAAUAUUUCAGAUCAGGAAGACGUUGUUCCCGAGCCCGUUCCGCAAGAAGACGGCGAAGGGGACGCCUAAAGACUUUAUAGCUAUAUUUAUAGUUUUUAUAUCGAGUAUCUCUCUUAGUUAGUUUGUUCCUUCAUGUUUUGAGUACGUUUUGGUUAUUGUGUAAGGGAUGUUAAUCAAAAUUUUUAUUACGCUUCCGCAUUUGACAUUUUUAAUACAUAUAUUCCAUUUAAAUUUUUAGGGCCGUUACAGGGAACGCAUCUGGGCUGUUCACGAGCGCGAGAUGACAUCUGGACCUUCGAAUUACCGAGCAUGUGGAUUGCUCGCGUGGCUUCCUACGUGGUGUUGAUGUUAGUGAGGUUGCCACACGACUUGCUCUGGUUUGCUAGGGCUGUUGACCGGGUCGUCCCACGCGGCCAAACUUUUUUUUUAUGUUUUAAUCUCAUGUUUUUAAUUUUUCUUUCAAAAAUACUCUCGAAUUUUAAAUUUUCAUCCAUUUUCUUCAAAAUUAUUUUCAAUUUCAUUCAUAAUCUAUUUUUUUUUUCAAAAAUUCAAUAAAAUUAAACUAAAAUAAAUAAAAUUGAUUAUUUCUAUAAUUUAAUUUUUUUAUAAAUGAAAUAAUAAAGAAAAUCAUCCCAGGUCGAUUUUCGAAACUGGGUAUUACGACUCUCCCUCCCUUAAGAAAAUUUGGUCUCUCAAAUUUGUCACCCUCUCUCUUAGUUAAACAAGUGGGGAUACUAUGCUUUGAAAUCCAAUUUUAGCUCCCAAGUGAUCUCUUCUCGUGUGUGAUUAUAUCAUAGGACUUUGACGAAAGGAAUCUCUCUGUGGCGAAGCACUCUGCUCUUCUGGUCUAUAAUACCUACUAGUACCUUCUCAUAGGAUACAUCCUCCUUGGGUGAAGGGGGCUUGUGGGAUAGAAUGUGUGAGGAGUCUGGGUUGUAGUUGCGUAGCAUGAACAUAUGAAACACAUUAUGGACUUUGGAUAGUUGUAGAGGUAGUGCUAGUUUGUAAGCGGAUGUAGCAAUCCUAUCUAAGAUUUCAAAUGGCCCAAUGAACUGGAGAUUUAAUUUUUUUCUCUUACCAAACUUGCUGAUUCCUUUGAAAGGAGUGACUUUAAGAAACACUCGAUCACCUUUCUCAAAUUCCAAAUCCCUCAUCUCAGUAUCCGCAUAACUCUUCUGUCAGCUCUGAGCUGUCUGGAUGUUCUUCUUGAUUUCAACUAUCUUGAUUGUAGUCUCUUCUACAAGAUCUGGGCCAAACAAUAUUUCAUCAUCCAUCGCUUUCCAGCAGAUCAACGACCUACAGGAUCGACCAUAUAAUGUCUCAUACGGGACCAUGUCAAUGUUUGCUUGAUAGAUGUUGUUAUAGGCGAACUCUAUCAAAGGUAGGUGAUCAUCCCAAUGGCCCCCGAAGUCUUUAACACAAGCUUGGUGUAACACCCAAGUAAAAAUAAAAAUUUUAUUUUAAUUAUUUUUAUUUUUAUUUAUUUGAUUUUUAUUUAAUUUAAUUUAAUUUAUUGAAAAUAAUAAUAAUAAUUAUUAUAAAAUUGGGUAAAAAUAUUAUUUGGAUUUAAUUGAAAUUGAUUUUGGAAAAAAUGAGAGAAAAUUUGGAUUCUGAUGGUGUUUUUGAAAAGAAAAUCAGAAACCGGGGGUCAAAAUGCAAUUUAGAAAAGUUGUGCCACGUCAGCAGCCACGUCAGCAGCCACGUCAGCGGCCUGGUCAGUAGCCCCAGCCAACCAGGACCCGCCGCGUGGCAAGGCAACGCUGACCAGGGAACGGGCCACGUGGGCGAUCCGCGUGCGCGCGAUCGGACGACCCGGAUCUGUUCCCGCGCGCACGGACGGCCCAGAUCAAACGUGCGCACGGACGGUCCAGAUUCACACGCACGGACGGUCCAGAUUCAAUCAGGCACGGACGGCCCAGAUUGCAUCGCGAUGGACGGCCCAAAUUUAAUCCCAAUUAAAUUGCGAUCGAACGGUUCAGAUUUAAUCUUAAUGGACGGUUGAGAUUAAAAGGCAAAGGGUAUAAAUAACCCCACCCACACCUGACCACAAAAACCCUAGCCGCCAGUGCCUCGCCAGAGAAGAAGAACCAGACACCGGAGGAGCCGGCCGCCGCCACCCGCCUCCGCACCGAAGAAGUUUUCGACCGCCGAUCGAGAUAAAUUUUCUCCCCCUUGCUCGUUUUUUGAUGCUGAGUCCAUCUAUGGCCAAACCGGAGCCAAACCAUGGGCCAAACGGUCGGAAAACCCAGCCGAACCCAGCGGCGCUGCCGCGCCCCUCCGAUGAGGCCCUUCCUGGCCUUCGUUCGAUGCUAAUUUUAUACCACUGUGAUCACCGUUCUUUUCUCUAUAGGUUGAUCGGAGCCAAACAUCAAAACGCGACUCACGCCGGAGGAGCCGCCGCACCUGAGAGCACCGUCGCCGGUAAGUCUCGAUUUUUCGUGAUUUUUUGGCCCACCGAGGGCCCUAGGUUUGUUUUAUCACAGGAACUGAUGCAAGUGUGGCCAAAUUCGGCCGAAAACAAUCAACCCGAGGGAAUCGUAGGUACCAGUAGUGCGGACACGUGCAGGUACCAGUAGUGCAUUUCAGUUUUCCAGAAAAAAUUCAAGGAAAUUAGGGACAGCCUGUAGGCGCACUGUAAAGCCGUAUUCAGAUCCCGAAACAAGUAAGGACCCCUCACCCUAUUUUUGGGUAAAUAUAUGCUUCAAACACUUAUAGUCUAUAUAAAUCUUAAAAGUCUCCCCAUAUAAGUAGUGGCACCAGGUUUUCAAAUAUGGAUAACGACAGCAAGUUCUAAGUUGUGAGUGAAAUAAUUCUUCUUAUAAUUCUUUAACUGCCUGGACUCAUAUGCUAUGACAUCCCCAUACUGCAUCAGAACACAACACAACCCCAAGUAGGAGGCAUCACUAUACAUUAUAUAUCCACUUGUCCUACUCAGUAGAGUCAACACAUGUGCAGUAGUCAACUACUUCUUGAAUUCUGUAAAACUCUUUUCACAAUUCUCAUUCUACUCAAACUUGAUGUUCUUCUUUGUAAGUCAAGUCAAUUGAGCAGUUAGACUAGAAAAUUAUUCCACAAAUCUGCGGUAAUAUUCUGCCAUUCCCAGAAAGCUACAGAUUUCCUUAACUGAAGUUAAUUUUUUUCAACCAAGUAUUACUUCAACCUUUUUAGGAUUCACUAACACCCCAUCAUUUGAUGUUAUGUACCCCAGAUAGGUAGUCUGCUCAAGCUAAAACCCACACUUGCUCAGUUUUGCAUAUAACUUUUUUUUUAGAACUUGUAAAACCUGAGUCUGGUGAUGAGUGUGUUCCUCUCUAUUCUUUGAAUAGAUUAGGAUAUCAUCAAUGAAUACAAUGACGAACUGGUCCAAAAAUUACCUAAAAAUUUUGUUAAUCAAGUCUAUAAAAAUGGUUGGUGCAUUGGUUAAUACAAAUGACAUGACUAGAAACUCAUAGUAUUCGUACCCUGAUCUUUACCUAAUGGUUACCCGAACGAAAGUCUAUUUUAAAGAAAACAUUGGUACCCUACAAUUAAUCAAAAAGGUCAUAAAUUCUAGAGAUGAAGUACUUGUUCUUGAUCGUGACUCUAUUUAAUUCUCUGUAUUUAAUACAUAAUCUCAACAUCCCAUCCCCUUUCCUUGCAAAUGUGACUCCAACACCCUAAGGAGAUACACUAUGUCAGAUGAACCCACUAUCUUGUAAUUCAUUGAUCUGUUUUCUCAACUCUUCCAUAUCAACAUGACUCAUGUGGUAAGGACAACUGAGAUAAGCUGGGUGUCAGGCUAAAUAUCUAUGGUGAACUCAACUUUCCUGCCUACUGGCAGUUUGGGUAGUUCAUUAGAAGACACAUCUGGGAAGUCUUAGACUAUAAGGAGCUCUUGAAUACAAACUUCUUUUUAGGUUUGCCUAAUAUAGAGAAGACAACCGAAUUAAAGCACUAUAUGAUAAGAAAAUGGCCUUGAGAAAAUAAUAUUUAAAACUUUUAUUAAUUUGUAAAUGACUCUUCGUUAGUAGACUUGAAUACAAGUUUUUUGUAGAAGCAAUCUACAGUGGCAUGAUACGCCGCUAACUAGUUCAUUCACAUAAUUAUAUCAAAGUCUUCCAUAUCUAUCUCUAUCAGGUCUACACUCAGUUUUCUAUCUACUAUGUCUACGACACAAGCUUUGUAUAUAAUCUCUUAUAGUAGUAUACUACUUUUAGAAGUAGACACAAGCAGCACAGAAUCAAGUUUUUUAGAUAAUAUAUUCAAUUUUUUUACAAAAUUAUGUGAGACAAACGAAUGUGAAGUACCAAUAUCGAUAAAAAUAUGUGAAAGGUAAUUACAGAUAGUGUACGUACUUUGUAUCAUGUCCGGAUUGACUUCAGCAUCCUGCUAGGUGAGGUUAUAAGCUCCGCCCUUGGUAGGAGGUCUGACCUAAUUCUGAUUUCACGGGCACUCUCUCACGUAGUGUUGGGCACUCCCACAUAUGUGGUAGGUAUUGUUGAGACGAUAGUAAGGUCGAUCCCCAUAAUCCUUGCCAUAGUCUUUGGCAAGUCCUACCGCGUCCUGUUGUUAGAGCCUGAGGAGGAGCCUAAAUUACUGGCCUAGACCUCUUGUUUUGUUGAACCGGUAUAAUGGGUGUUGGUCUACGGUGUGAAACCAGGAGUCUGAAAUUUUUCACUGUUGGAGGAAAGAUACGAGGGUUCCUUUCAACUAGUUGUGUCUUGGCCAGAAUGACUAAGUAUGUGUUGAGCUCAAAUACGUACAACUGUUGUCUGAUCUCAGGACGGAGGCCCCACUUGAACUUCCUUGCCUUUUUUCCUUCAUUCAUCAUACUCUCGGGAGAAUACCGACUAAACUCUUGAAACUUUCGGGUAUACUCUGAUACAGUUAUAUCAUCUUAGACUGGGUGUAUAAACCCAAGUUCCUUCAAAUACCAAAGGUGUUAUGGGAGGUACUCUGCAUUGAAGGCCAUUAAGAACUGUUCACAAGUGACUAGAACGAGCAGGGUGGCUUGCUUGAGCUCUAAAUCUUUCUACUGCGAGGAUGGCUCAAAUUGUGGCAGCAGGGGAGGGUCAGACAACUCCCUUAUUUCCUCCCGAACUUACUGGGCAGAGAUAAGUCUCUCCAUCAUCUCAAAUAGUCGAUAAACAUCCUCUUGAAACGACCUAUCCCUGCCUGCUCGAUUUAGUGGGGGUCUUCCUCUCCUCAUAUCCUUGUACCUGUAUUUUAUAAGGAAUGGUUGAGUAAUAGUUUGUAUUUAGUAUUUUUAAGUCUGUAUGUAAGGAAUGGUUCCGAGGAACGUGGCUCUGAUACUAACUAUAAAGGCUCGAACUAGAAGAAAAAAAUUUAUUAUCUAAAUCCGAAAAUGAAUAAUAAGUUAAUGUUUACAUUUGUUACAUAGUAAAUUAGAAUGCUCAAUAGGCUUACAAGAAUGUCCCUUCUAUAUUGGCUCAUAAAAAAAAUCAAGAAAUAAUUAAAAAUAAAUAAAUAAAUAUCAUAAGGAGCUAACCUCCACUAAUUCUUGAAAGAAGUCCGAGAGGUGAACUACUCAAAACUCUCUUGCUGAUCGGGAUUUGGAUCUUGGUCUUCUUGAUAUAAAAUAGUUAAUAAAAUGGUGAAUUAUAUUAUUCCAAUAAGGAUAUCACACUAAUUAUUGAUAGAAAAAAUUGAAGGUUGGUAAAAAUCAUAGAAUAACUAGUGGAGCCCUUGAUUUAAGUAAAGACAUUUAACAUUAAAACGUUUAUUCCAUACUUACCGUUAUGGGUUUUUCAAAAUCAACUUAUGAAGACAAGUAACCAGAUAAUAUUUUAAUUUCAUGCAUAAGAUCUAUAACUCUUCCUUUUAACCUACUUACUGAGACCCCUGCAUAUCCAUAAGGAUAUCCCCCUAUUCUUAAACCCAAUAUAUAGAUUGACAAUUAACCCGGCUGUUCCCAUACCCCGUCAGGUGAUGGACACCAAAUAUACCAUCUUCUCGAUAUCCUGUCCGGUAUGAGGGUGAAUCAUAUCUCCCAAAACCUUCUGGUAUAGGACUUCUCAGCCUCGUUCGACUGAAGUAAUGUCCAUAGUAGAGUUCCUUAUGUACCGGACUCAUCCAUUCUUUCCUAGGGUGCCUAGUAAAUUGUCACAUAUAUAAAUCCUCAUCGUCCCAACUGACACCAAUCGCAUACCAACGCCUCAUUACAUAUUUACAGAUUAACCUAAAAGACAUCUAAGUAAGCAAUAUAGUUUAUGAUAACCGAGUAACCGAAUAAUUAAAUAAACAAAUAAACAAUGUAAGGGAACCAAAUAAAGUAGAUAACUGAGGACACAGUUCAAACUAGCAAUUUAAUGCACAUAAUUAAAUAGUAAAUAUUUUAAGCAAUACAGGAGAAAAUAAACAGUAAGCUAGGGCAAUCGUACAUUGACCAGUUCUAGCUCUAUUAUUGACCUGUACUUAUUAUUAGAAUUUUUUUAAUUUUCACAAAACACAAAAUUAUUGAUUUUUAAGUCUUAAUUCAUUAUAAUAGAGAAUAGAGUGAGAAAUUCUUAUUGGGAUUGGUGUUUCGAAAUGUUGUGCUAUCCACUACGCCUCCUGAUGGGGCCCUAGGUUUUUUUAAAUUUUUUCUACUGAAAUCAAAAUACUCGUCAUAUACUCAAAAAUACCCCAAAAAUCUAAAACUGGUGUUGAAAAUUCUUUCCAGUCAAUUUUAGGGUUCUGGCAUGGCGACGUUGUCGUGUUUAGCUCCGGCUCUGCCACCACGGUGGCGGUUUGCCUUGGCCUGGUCGGUUUUAGCCGGUUUUACACGUAUUCCUGAGAAAAAAUACGUUAGGAAGUCUCAGUUAGCCAAAAAAAAAUUAAAAAAUCGAACUUACCGUUGGGGGAGGGGGGAUCUCUGAGUGCGGCGGCUCCACCGGUUCUCCUUCACGUCUAGGAUUUCUUUUUCGGCUAACCUGCAUAUAAAUGGAUGAUAAAUAUAACGGUCAAAGAAUCGUGUGAAAUGAGAAAUAAAAGGGGGUCAUUGGAGAAGGUUUAGAGUUUUGGUCCCGGCGGCUUUGCUGGGCUUUACCCACAGUUUCUAACUCACCCGCUAUCCCUUUUGCUCCGAUAUGACCACAAGGAGGCUCAAAAUUGAAUUCCAAUAAGGGAGAGAAAAAUUCUACCUUUUUUGGUGGUCGGCGGUUGCUCUGGUGUGGCAGUGGCCGGUGGUCGGUCUCCUUAUCUGAUGUCUGGUUCUUUUUCUCCGGCAAGGGCAGUGCGGCUAGGGUUAAUGUUUCUUGAGACACAAUGUUUAAAUAUUCAUCCCGUGUCGAUUUGGACUGUUCGUUCAGAGAUACGUGACCCUCUCUUCUUCGUUAGAUCUAUCUUANNNNNNNNNNNNNNNNNNNNNNNNNNNNNNNNNNNNNNNNNNNNNNNNNNNNNNNNNNAUUGAAUUCAAAAUUUUAUUAUUUUUUUAAAAAAUUAUUUUUAAUUGUCUAUAAUUUAUUUUUAAAAAAAAUUUAAUAAAAUUAAACUAAAAUAAAUAAAAUUAAUUAUUUCUAUAAUUUAUUUUGUUAUAAAUAAAAUAAUAAAGAAAAUUAUCCCGAUCUGAUUUUCGGACUCAGAUAUUACAUAAAAUAUGCUAGAUUUUCAUGUAUUUAUAUAUUUUUGGUGUGAUUUAUAUACUAUAUUGUCAUGUAUUUAUAUAUAUUAGGUGUGAUUUUUAGUCUCAAAUUAAAGAAGAUAUAAUUAUUGUCUUUCCCAUUAGAUUACGCAUUACUAAUAAUUUUAAUUUAAAAAAUUAUUAAUUUAAUGGUAUUAUACUUGGUUUAUAAUUUUUAAAAAUUUUAUUUAUUUUUUACAUUGUUAAAAAAUAAAAAAGAAAUUACUUUUAAAUAAAAUAUAAAAAAUUGUAAUAUUAUUUUAAAUUUUUAAUGAAUAAAAUAAUGUAAUUUAAGUAAAGUGUUUAAUGUAUUUUGAAUUAAUUAAAUUAAACACUAAUAGCCCGUUUAACACCAUGACUUGCGCCCAAUUCGUGUUGAAUCAAGUGUUGACUUUUGGUCAACGGACAUGAAGGUACAAGUUCAAAACUUCCAAGUCCAAGAAAUUCACAAAGGAAAAAGAAGAAGAAACAGAUUAGUAUGACACUAGUCUCUCUUCUCGACUUACCUUUGUUCUUCGUUAUCUUCAUCGUUGCCUUCGUUCGCUCAGACCUGCUUCCCCAGGGUGUUCAUCCUAUAGGUUACUUUUCUCUCAUUCUCCGUUUACAUAUAAUCCAAUUACUUGUAUUUUAUUUUGUUAAUUGGAUCAAUUUGCUGUUAUACUAUCGAAUUUUGAUUGUUUUUUUGCAAAAUUUUGGCCAGAUGAGGAGUACUUUGUGUCAGAAGUGAUAAAAUGCAGGGACGGAUCGAAAUCGUUCACCAGGGACCGUCUCAACGACAACUAUUGCGAUUGCGUUGACGGGACCGAUGAGCCUGGUUUCUUUCUCGUAUUCUUUAAUUGACUUACUUUGACUUUUAUUUGUCUCAUCUGAUUUCGUCGCGCUCUUAAUUUCAUUGCCUUUUCUCUUCGUCUCGUUGUAUUUGUCUCCGUUUUCUUGUGUUGAAAUUUGAGGAACAUUCCAGGAACUGCAGCUUGUCCAGGAGGCAAAUUUUAUUGCAGGAAUGCGGGGAGUGUACCUAAUUUCAUUUUUUCUUCUCGCGUUAAUGAUGAUUUUUGUGGUCUGUGUUCUUCUCUUGUAUUCUAGUUACAUACUGUAAUUUUUCGUAUUUUAAUCCAUUACUUGCCGAAGAAUAUUGAUUUCUUCGAAGAUUUUAGGUUAGGUUACUAACAAAAUGUCCUAAACUAAAUUGCAUUUCAUAGAGUUUAGUUUUUGUUUGAGUUACUUGUUUUUUUAUUAUUGAAACUUCAAAAUUUUGGUUGGCAAUUCAACACUUCUGUAGAUUGCUGUGAUGGAAGUGAUGAGUAUGAAAACAGGAUCCGUUGUCCCAAUACAUGUAUCAUGGGUGGGACUGUUGAACACAAGUCUGAAAGUAUUGGAAUCUCGGUUCAUAAGGACUUGGAAAUUGAUAAUGUUGAUGUAAAAGAAACCAAGAAUGGUGUCAAUUUAAAGGAAUUGGUUCAGACGCUUGAAGGUGUAGUUAUAUCUUUUAUGGUGUUUUGGUUUUGAUGCACUUAAGAGGGCUAAUGCAUGUUAGUUCAUGAGAUUAAUGGAAGUUGUGUCUUGAUGCUUUCAGGGUUGACAUUUGUGAUAUUCCUGCAGAUGUCUGCUGUUGGGUUUUUGAUGGUCCUGUGGGUAUCGGAAAAGCAUGAUAGAUCUAGGAAACGCUGAUUUUGAUGAAGGAAAAAGAAUCAACUUUUAGCUCACUGUUUGAUUUUGGGUAAUAGUCCUCAAAGUACUUAUCUUGUUUUGCUUUUUCGGAUAGAAUUUUGUGUGCGCCCUUAUGUAUGUUGUUUCGUGGCGUUUCAGGCUAUAUGAUAUGCAUGUGUUCUUCUCUUGUUUCUGAUACAUUGCGUUCCUCUGUUUCCCUUGUCUCAACCCAAAAAGGGGCCAGACAUUAUCUGGAUGUUGAUUCCAUUAGGUUUAUAAAGCAUCAAUCUGAGAAACAUGAGGAAAAUUCAUUCUAAUGCACUGAAGAGGUUCAAGAGGAUGAAGAAUUCUCCCAUGCAAAAAUAGAAGCUUUUGUAUGUUGUUGUAGUGAAGAAAUUGUUGAAUUUCUUUGCUUUGCUACUACUAGUCUGGUAUGAACGAAGAAGAGCUGCUUGAUUAUAUUCCCUUAAUUAUAUGCGGAGUGAAAUGUCAGUUGCAGUUGUGUCAACCAAGCUUCCAAAAUUCUUAUCCUUUCUCCUCCCAUUGAAUCGUGUCCGCUCAAUUUCCUCACCUGCAUUUCAUACUGUUGAAGAAACCAUCAGAGCUGCAGUUGAAUCCAAGACUUACGAACAGAUACCUGAUCUUCUAAUUUCACUAAAACAAAUUUCCCAAAGGAAUAAUCCCUACUUGCUUCUGUCUAAGUUUUCUCAAAUUCGGAGAACCCAUAGCUUUGAUGAUAUGUUACAAGCUUUUCUCCCACUCAGACCAGGUUCUCGUCCCCUAAUUGCCUAUUCCUACCUUCUUUCUCACACACUUCAAGCUCCCAAUCCUCUUCCUCUUUCUCUUGCUGUCCUCCAAUGUAUUCUUCGUUCUGGGUCUAGCGCUGCUCUCCAGACCCACCUUCUUUUAUCUUCUGCAUGGCUUCACCGACGCCGCCAAUCUCACUCUGUCUCCAACAUCCUACUGGAGAUGAAAUCCAUUCGUUAUUUUCCUGAUUCUGCCACCUGCUAUUAUAUAUGCGCACCAAGAUUUCUCUCUCAGUUUUAUUUCUGUGGACGUGUUCAGGCCGCACCACGAAUUUAUUUAUCUGUAAGUUAAUUUUAAUUGUGCUAUUAUUUUUCUUUAUACAUCGUGAUUUUGUAACGAAAAUAAAAAAUUUUUAAAAUCUAAUUGGGAUUUGCAUAUCCAUUCAUGUCGAUAUGCUUACAUUGAAUUAUUUUUGUAUUUUUUAUUUUUUUAUGUAAAUUGUUAUGGAUUUAAAGUAAAGAAUGUAUAUUUUUCUUGUUUAAUUUCCACUAGAAUUAUACUAAAUAUUGCUAUAUACAGUUAUAUUAGGGUAUAAUAACCUCCCCGUCUUGACAAAUUUGCAUUCAAAAAGGACUCCUAUACAUAAUAUGUAUAUCAAUACGUAUAAAUUUGUUUUAAUUUCUGAUUUUUUUAUUAUCCAGAUAUUUAAUAAAUUAUGAUUUGUAUUCUCAGCAGUUUAGAUUUCUUUCCUAUUGAAAAAACCUUCAUAUAUUUAGUAAUAUUUUACUUAUAUACAUACAUGUCUCUUCUUCUUCUUCUUCAUCUUCAUAUGAGCAACCUAAAUCCUAAUUAACCCUACCCAUAAAGCUUUUUGGUAUUAGGGUAACAAUCUUUUCAUGUCCCAAGAAAUUUUCUUUUUUAUUUGAUUUUCUUAUCUUCCCAUUCGAUUUUCUUGUUCAUAUUGUUUAUAAGACACAUCCUUUUCGUUCUUAUCCAAACAAAUUUUCAAAAAGUUUGUAUGUAUAUAUAUAUAUAUAUAUGUGAUCAUAUAUUACUGUUGAAUUUCUUCCCUGCAUGCAUAUAUAUUUAUAUUUCCUUUUUACUUAUUAGUAUAUUCUUUCUUUUUCUCCUCUCUCUCUCUCGUGUAUUGUUUAACAUAUAUGUUAAAAAUAAUAUAUAAGUUUGUAUUAUUUUCAUGAUUCUUUUGACCGAUUUAGGAUGCAAGGGGAUAACGAAAACAAAUCAAGCAAUACCAUCGGGAGUACACAUCCAGCAUGUGCCUCGUGCAAACAUCAAAGAAAAAAGUGCAACAAUGACUGUAUACUGGCACCAUACUUCCCUGCAGAUAAAAAUAGGGAGUUUCAAGCGGUGCAUAAAGUGUUUGGAGUGAGUAAUGUUCAGAAACUAAUACGAAAUUUGAAAGGCGAGGAUCAGAAAAAGGCUGUGGAAUCUUUGGUUUGGGAAGCUUCUUGCAGACAAAAGGAUCCAGUACAAGGACCUUACGGAGAAUACAAGAGAGUCUGUGACGAACUUACAUUAUACAAGAAUCAAAUACAAAUGAUGCAGUUGCCGGGACAAGGAGCUACCAUGUUUAAGCUCGGGAUGCCAAUGAUGGGUUGGAAUGGGAAUCAUGGAAUGAUCAAUAAUAAUAAUAACAACAACAUGCUCAAUUUUAACCAAGAAAACGAUAAGUUGAUAUUUGACUCCAACACCUACUGCUACCCUUCUACUAAUGUAGAGAGACUAAAGAAUGAUCAUGUGGGUGUUGGUGUUACUCUUACUCCUCAAAUUCACCAACACACAACAAAUGCAGUAUCCCAUUAAUCAGUUCUACCUUUCUGGUAAGUUUGAACUAAUCCCUAUAUAUGCAUUUAAAUUAUACAUACUACAUAUAUAUAAUGAAAAUUUGUAAUUACCAUCUAUAUUAUAUUUGACCCUAUUAUUUUAAUUAAGUAAUUAUUCUUUUUUGGGUGAUGAGUAGAGAUAGAGAUUGUGCGUUCCGUUCAUUAUUUUUAAAUUAUUGUGUUAUGAUUAGUAUAUGUGUAUUAAUUAAUAAAAUAAUAUAGAUUUUCACUUUUUAAAUCGAGAUUUAAUUAUUGAAAAUACAUAAUCUAUACAAUUCAUAAACGUAUUCUUGUGAAUGUAUAAAAUAAAAUAAAUCAUGGUUUUUAUUUGGAUUUCACUUGCUUAAUUAUUGUAGGUCAAUUUGGUCCUAACUAAUGGCAAGAUGAUGGAAGGUGAAUGUAUGGAGAAAGAGAACAUAUUUUGGAUAAGGGAAAGCGUAGGAGAUGAUACAAGAAACUAAUAUCUUUGUGUACUUUUUUUUGGGUUUCAUAUCUUCUCUUUGUUUUCCCUAAGUAAUAUGUUUAAUUGGAUAAUGCUAUUUUCUCAUAAAAAUAUGCUAGAUUUUCAUGUAUUUAUAUAUGUUUCGUGUGAUUUAUAUAUUAGAUUCUCGUGUAUUUAUAUAUGUUUGGUGUGAUUUUUAGUUUUAAAUUAAAAAAUAUAUAAUUAUUGUCUUUCCCCU
rnacentral:lncRNA from 1 species